GAUGAACGCUGGCGGCGUGCCUAAUACAUGCAAGUCGAGCGAACAGACGAGGAGCUUGCUCCUCUGACGUUAGCGGCGGACGGGUGAGUAACACGUGGAUAACCUACCUAUAAGACUGGGAUAACUUCGGGAAACCGGAGCUAAUACCGGAUAAUAUAUUGAACCGCAUGGUUCAAUAGUGAAAGUCGGUUUUGCUGUCACUUAUAGAUGGAUCCGCGCCGCAUUAGCUAGUUGGUAAGGUAACGGCUUACCAAGGCGACGAUGCGUAGCAGACCUGAGAGGGUGAUCGGCCACACUGGAACUUAGACACGGUCCAGACUCCUACGGGAGGCAGCAGUAGGGAAUCUUCCGCAAUGGGCGAAAGCCUGACGGAGCAACGCCGCGUGAGUGAUGAAGGUCUUCGGAUCGUAAAACUCUGUUAUUAGGGAAGAACAAAUGUGUAAGUAACUAUGCACGUCUUGACGGUACCUAAUCAGAAAGCCACGGCUAACUACGUG
rnacentral:rRNA from 1 species